GAGUUUGAUCCUGGCUCAGGACGAACGCUGGCGGCGCGCCUAACACAUGCAAGUCGAACGAGCAAAGAGGAGCCUGCUUCUCUGAGCGAGUGGCGAACGGGUGAGUAACGCGUGAGGAACCUGCCUCAAAGAGGGGGACAACAGUUGGAAACGACUGCUAAUACCGCAUAAGCCCACGGGUCGGCAUCGACCAGAGGGAAAAGGAGCAAUCCGCUUUGAGAUGGCCUCGCGUCCGAUUAGCUAGUUGGUGAGGUAACGGCCCACCAAGGCGACGAUCGGUAGCCGGACUGAGAGGUUGAACGGCCACAUUGGGACUGAGACACGGCCCAGACUCCUACGGGAGGCAGCAGUGGGGAAUAUUGCACAAUGGGGGAAACCCUGAUGCAGCGACGCCGCGUGGAGGAAGAAGGUCUUCGGAUUGUAAACUCCUGUUGUUGAGGAAGAUAAUGACGGUACUCAACAAGGAAGUGACGGCUAACUACGUGCCAGCAGCCGCGGUAAAACGUAGGUCACAAGCGUUGUCCGGAAUUACUGGGUGUAAAGGGAGCGCAGGCGGGAAGACAAGUUGGAAGUGAAAUCCAUGGGCUCAACCCAUGAACUGCUUUCAAAACUGUUUUUCUUGAGUAGUGCAGAGGUAGGCGGAAUUCCCGGUGUAGCGGUGGAAUGCGUAGAUAUCGGGAGGAACACCAGUGGCGAAGGCGGCCUACUGGGCACCAACUGACGCUGAGGCUCGAAAGUGUGGGUAGCAAACAGGAUUAGAUACCCUGGUAGUCCACACCGUAAACGAUGAUUACUAGGUGUUGGAGGAUUGACCCCUUCAGUGCCGCAGUUAACACAAUAAGUAAUCCACCUGGGGAGUACGACCGCAAGGUUGAAACUCAAAGGAAUUGACGGGGGCCCGCACAAGCAGUGGAGUAUGUGGUUUAAUUCGACGCAACGCGAAGAACCUUACCAAGUCUUGACAUCCUGCGACGGACAUAGAAAUAUGUCUUUCCUUCGGGACGCAGAGACAGGUGGUGCAUGGUUGUCGUCAGCUCGUGUCGUGAGAUGUUGGGUUAAGUCCCGCAACGAGCGCAACCCUUAUGGUCAGUUACUACGCAAGAGGACUCUGGCCAGACUGCCGUUGACAAAACGGAGGAAGGUGGGGAUGACGUCAAAUCAUCAUGCCCUUUAUGACUUGGGCUACACACGUACUACAAUGGCGUUAAACAAAGAGAAGCAAGACCGCGAGGUGGAGCAAAACUCAGAAACAACGUCCCAGUUCGGACUGCAGGCUGCAACUCGCCUGCACGAAGUCGGAAUUGCUAGUAAUCGUGGAUCAGCAUGCCACGGUGAAUACGUUCCCGGGCCUUGUACACACCGCCCGUC
rnacentral:rRNA from 1 species